CCUCUAUUUCUUGGCGCACGUGUGGUUGCUCAGUACUCAUGUGUGUAAUGUACGGAGGGAGAGAAGUGCCAAUGCUAUGUCUUCGGUGCCAGUAUGUUCAUCGUCUACUGGUUCUAUCCUCAAUCACUGGGACACAC